AUUGAACGCUGGCGGCAGGCUUAACACAUGCAAGUCGAGCGGAGCGAGGGUGCUUGCACCUUAGCUUAGCGGCGGACGGGCGAGUAAUGCUUAGGAAUCUGCCUAUUAGUGGGGGACAACAUUCCGAAAGGGAUGCUAAUACCGCAUACGCCCUACGGGGGAAAGCAGGGGAUCUUCGGACCUUGCGCUAAUAGAUGAGCCUAAGUCGGAUUAGCUAGUUGGUGGGGUAAAGGCCUACCAAGGCGACGAUCUGUAGCGGGUCUGAGAGGAUGAUCCGCCACACUGGGACUGAGACACGGCCCAGACUCCUACGGGAGGCAGCAGUGGGGAAUAUUGGACAAUGGGCGGAAGCCUGAUCCAGCCAUGCCGCGUGUGUGAAGAAGGCCUUUUGGUUGUAAAGCACUUUAAGCGAGGAGGAGGCUCUUAAGGUUAAUACCCUUGAUGAGUGGACGUUACUCGCAGAAUAAGCACCGGCUAACUCUGUGCCAGCAGCCGCCGUAAAAC
rnacentral:rRNA from 1 species